rnacentral:rRNA from 1 species
AGUUUGAUCCUGGCUCAGGAUGAACGCUAGCUACAGGCUUAACACAUGCAAGUCGAGGGGCAGCAUUGGAGUAGCAAUACUUCAGAUGGCGACCGGCGCACGGGUGAGUAACACGUAUCCAACCUGCCGCUUACUCGGGGAUAGCCUUUCGAAAGAAAGAUUAAUACCCGAUGGUAUAAAGAGUUCGCAUGUUCUCUUUAUUAAAGAAUUUCGGUAAGCGAUGGGGAUGCGUUCCAUUAGAUUGUUGGCGGGGUAACGGCCCACCAAGUCUACGAUGGAUAGGGGUUCUGAGAGGAAGGUCCCCCACAUUGGAACUGAGACACGGUCCAAACUCCUACGGGAGGCAGCAGUGAGGAAUAUUGGUCAAUGGACGAGAGUCUGAACCAGCCAAGUAGCGUGAAGGAUGACUGCCCUAUGGGUUGUAAACUUCUUUUAUAAGGGAAUAAAGUGAGGGACGUGUCCCUUUUUGUAUGUACCUUAUGAAUAAGGAUCGGCUAACUCCGUGCCAGCAGCCGCGGUAAUACGGAGGAUCCGAGCGUUAUCCGGAUUUAUUGGGUUUAAAGGGAGCGUAGGUUGACGUAUAAGUCAGCUGUGAAAGUUUACGGCUCAACCGUGAAAUUGCAGUUGAUACUGUAUGUCUUGAGUGUACAAGAGGUGGGCGGAAUUCGUGGUGUAGCGGUGAAAUGCUUAGAUAUCACGAAGAACUCCAAUUGCGAAGGCAGCUCACUGGGGUACAACUGACACUGAGGCUCGAAAGUGUGGGUAUCAAACAGGAUUAGAUACCCUGGUAGUCCACACAGUAAACGAUGAAUACUCGCUGUUUGCGAUAUACAGUAAGCGGCCAAGCGAAAGCAUUAAGUAUUCCACCUGGGGAGUACGCCGGCAACGGUGAAGCUCAAAGGAAUUGACGGGGGCCCGCACAAGCGGAGGAACAUGUGGUUUAAUUCGAUGAUACGCGAGGAACCUUACCCGGGCUUGAAUUGCAGAGGAACAUAGUUGAAAGAUUAUGGCCGCAAGGUCUCUGUGAAGGUGCUGCAUGGUUGUCGUCAGCUCGUGCCGUGAGGUGUCGGCUUAAGUGCCAUAACGAGCGCAACCCUUAUCAUUAGUUACUAACAGGUCAUGCUGAGGACUCUAGUGAGACUGCCGUCGUAAGAUGUGAGGAAGGUGGA